rnacentral:lncRNA from 1 species
AUUCGAUGGCAUUUGGCUUGACAUGAAUGAAGCAUCUAAUUUCAUCACCUCUGGUCCCCUUCAAAAUUCAAGUCUCGAUGACCCUCCCUACAAAAUAAAAAAUUCGCAAAUUAAUAACAACGCAAUCCCAGCAACAUCUUUGCAUUAUGGUAAUGUCACUGAGUAUAAUGUCCACAAUUUGUAUGGAUUCCUACAAACCAAAGUAACUCACAAGGCUCUAACUAAUAUAACUGGUAAAAGGCCAUUCAUUCUCAGUAGAUCAACUUUUGUAAGCUCUGGUAAAUAUGCAGCACACUGGACAGGAGAUAAUGCUGCUUCAUGGAAUGAUUUGGCAUACUCUAUACCAUCAAUAUUAAAUUCUGGAAUCUUUGGAAUUCCAAUGGUUGGGGCAGAUAUAUGUGGUUUCUUAAGAGAUACUAAUGAAGAACUUUGCAGGCGCUGGAUCCAGGUAGAAUUGACCGUCAAACACAGUAUUAUAGGAUAAUCUUUUCACUCUCUGUAUGAUACUAAUUAUUCACAUAUGCUUGCUUAAGAAAGACUAUAGUAGUUACAAAACAAAACUACAGAACAACCAGAUGUUACUAAGUAUUCACAAUGCCACAUCUACUUGUCUAAAACUAUAGUUACUUAGUAUUCACAAUUUGACAUACUUGCCUAAAACUAUAGAAGUUACCAAAAUUACAUGUGGAAACUGCCAUGAUUUUUUGGUUAGUGGAAAAUAUGAAGGAAUCAUAUGUGAAAUGAAAUGCACAUUAUAACAACUAUAUAUACAUGUCUAACUUUUUUCUUUUCCUCUUUCUAGUUGGGAGCUUUUUACCCCUUUUCAAGAGAUCAUUCUGAUAAAAAUUCAAGGAGGCAAGAGCUUUACCUUUGGGACUCAGUUGCUGCAUCAGCUAAGAAAGUACUUGCCCUCCGAUAUCGACUGCUCCCUUAUUUCUAUACACUAAAUUACGAAGCACAUGUUAAAGGAACACCUAUUGCACGACCCCUUUUCUUUUCGUUCCCCGAGGAUGUCGCAACAUAUGGAAUAAAUUCACAGUUUCUACUAGGCAAAGGGGUUCUAGUGUCACCUGUACUAAAAUCCGGGGAAACCAAAGUCGAAGCAUACUUUCCUGCAGGAAACUGGUUUGAACUUUUCAAUCUCUCGAAAUCUGUGACUGUGAAAUCAGGCAAGAAAGUUACUCUUGAUGCACCAUCUGACCACAUAAAUGUGCAUGUCGGGGAAGGUAAUAUUUUGGCCUUGCAAGGAGAAGCAAAAACAACCGAAGCCGCGAGGAAGACUGCAUUUGAACUCUUGGUUGUUGCUAGUAGCAAUGGAACUAGUUCUGGACAAGUCUUCUUAGAUGAUGGAGAGACACUUGACUUUGCAGGAGGGAAUGAAGAUUGGACAUUGGUAAAAUUUAAUGCCACAUUAGUGAACAAUAGUAUUUCUGUUGCAUCUAAUGUCACUAAUGGAAAAUAUUCUCUAAACCAAAAGUGGACCAUAAACAAGGUAACUAUCUUAGGGAUACCUAAGGGUAAGAUAUCAACUAAUAAGAAGAACGGGACACUGACAAACUCAAAAGGGAAGAGUGAUGUGAAGGCACAGUUCAAUAGCUCCUCUGAGUUUGUUACUGUAGAAGUUACAGAAUUGUCACAGCUUAUUGGAGAGGAAUUUAAGCUGGAAAUUGAAACCAAGUAGAGAAAGUAAGUUCUCACUAUAGCUGCAAUGCAAAAAUAAGUAGUACCUUUUUUUUCCCAAUGUUCAUGAAGUGUCAUGUUUUGUAUAAGAACUAAGUACCACAGAAUAAUGUCAAAAACUCAGCAUGGCUAUGAAGCUCAAUUAUGAAAAUAUCUGUAUGUCAAUAUGAAUGGCAAGUACUACCUAUUACUGGAGGUAGCUUAUAUUUGAUGCACUAAAUGUAGCAGUUACUCUUAUAAUUUUUUACACUCUACCUAACAACUUUACACGUUUAAAACAAUAAUUUGGAUGUUUAUUAUUAACCAUGCAUAACUAAGAAAUAUUCUUUAUCUCCUCAGUGACAUCAAUUCUUGUAGUUUUUUUUAACUUGACAGACUAAUAUGCAUGAUACAGCACCCUAAAUGACUUCAAUCAAUAUAGAAAUCCCAACUUACAUGCAGGUUUGACAUUAUUUUAUUAUUUGUUACUUGAAAUGCUAGAAUUAAUUAUUUACUCAUAAACCAGCUAAAAUACUGGAAACAUUUUUUUUAACAUUUAUAUUCAAGCACGAAACCUUAGGAGAAAUUGAACUCCUUAAUCCUUAUCACUCAUCAAAAACAGACUUGAUUACCACUCCUUUAAAUUAAAUACUUUCUCUUGCAAACCACAAGUUAAUAAAACAUUUUGCAUAAAGAUGCAAACCAUGAUUCAUGAAUAGCAACAUCAGAUUAUAUUUACAACUCAAAUAAUCCUGAUUGAUAAAAAAAUUAAACCUUAAAGAAGUUAACACAACAAUAUAAUUGAUAUUGAUAUAUUCAUAAUGUUGGGUAAUAGAAGAGUGUAAUAUCUAUGUAAUAUAAGUGUAAAAAUUUAUAUACAGUUACUAUAUUAUUUAACAUUUAUUUCUAUUAAAUAUAAAUGAUAGACGUGCAUGCCCAAUUUUGUCCGGCCAGAAUAAUUUUUCAAAAAUAAAAAUAAACAUGUGUCAAAAAUGCUUAAUGAGUAAUUGUUGGCUCAAUAAUCAUGAGAUAUUAUCUUAUUUUCCUUUUUAAUUUGUAAACAAUUUUUUAAAUGGGUAUUCAAUGACUAAAUGAGCACUUACUAUCAUAAUUCAUAAUUAUAGACAGAUUCCAUUUCUGGAAAAAUAAAAUACAUGUUAAAUGUCACAUAAUUUUCGUUUUCUUAAUUAAAUAAAAAUAAAAAGUGUAUUAAAAGUAUCUUCAAAUGGUUGUUUUUUGCUGUAUUGGUAGCUAAUGCAAUAAUUUGGAAUUUUGUAAUGACACUAUGAACUUUACACCACCUUCACCCUUUCCACUUUACCAUAAAAUAUUUGCACUAAGGCAAUAAAAGUGGAUUCACCACUGUGACUUGCAUCCAAAGAAGACUAGAACAGCACACAUUAGCAAGUUAUUCAUUCAUCAUAUAUACUGAAACAAUCUUAAGCAAAAAUGAUUUUUCAUUCACUGUUUAUACAUGUUAUAAUGCUACCUACAUAAACACCUUUCGCUGAUAAAUCAAAAUCAGUAUAUUAAAAACAUUCAAUUAACUUGAAAAUCAAAAGACAUUACUUCACUUUGGCGUUAUACACCAAUAUCACCGCAUUUAGGGGUAACUGUUCGCCAACGCUGCAACGGUGGUUGCUGCCGUAACCACACACCCAUCCUGGUGGCUGGACUCCUAUCGUCCUUGCGUCGACACCAUGGAAGCCACACACCACUCGGCGGCUGCCUCCGCCAGUUCUGGCUAUGGUUGCCGCCGCAUGAAAUUUGUGGUCUAGGGAUUUCAAUUUUCAAUCCCUUUGGUUCUUUCUUUUGUUGCUGGAGAGGGGUAACGUGCUGUUGUCCUUUUCUUUUUCUUCACAAGUAUCCUUUCGAGGCAAAAUCCUAUUCGAGGAGGGAAUUCACACACAGGUAAGGCUAACUCUCCCGACAAAGAUUUUUCAUUUAUA